AGAGUUUGAUCAUGGCUCAGAGCGAACGCUGGCGGCAGGCUUAACACAUGCAAGUCGAGCGGGCGUAGCAAUACGUCAGCGGCAGACGGGUGAGUAACGCGUGGGAACGUACCUUUUGGUUCGGAACAACACAGGGAAACUUGUGCUAAUACCGGAUAAGCCCUUACGGGGAAAGAUUUAUCGCCGAAAGAUCGGCCCGCGUCUGAUUAGCUAGUUGGUGAGGUAAUGGCUCACCAAGGCGACGAUCAGUAGCUGGUCUGAGAGGAUGAUCAGCCACAUUGGGACUGAGACACGGCCCAAACUCCUACGGGAGGCAGCAGUGGGGAAUAUUGGACAAUGGGCGCAAGCCUGAUCCAGCCAUGCCGCGUGAGUGAUGAAGGCCCUAGGGUUGUAAAGCUCUUUUGUGCGGGAAGAUAAUGACGGUACCGCAAGAAUAAGCCCCGGCUAACUUCGUGCCAGCAGCCGCGGUAAUACGAAGGGGGCUAGCGUUGCUCGGAAUCACUGGGCGUAAAGGGGUGCGUAGGCGGGUCUUUAAGUCAGGGGUGAAAUCCUGGAGCUCAACUCCAGAACUGCCUUUGAUACUGAGGAUCUUGAGUUCGGGAGAGGUGAGUGGAACUGCGAGUGUAGAGGUGAAAUUCGUAGAUAUUCGCAAGAACACCAGUGGCGAAGGCGGCUCACUGGCCCGAUACUGACGCUGAGGCACGAAAGCGUGGGGAGCAAACAGGAUUAGAUACCCUAGUAGUCC
rnacentral:rRNA from 1 species